rnacentral:rRNA from 1 species
GACGAACGCUGGCGGCGUGCUUAACACAUGCAAGUCGAACGGAAAGGCCCUGCUUUUGUGGGGUGCUCGAGUGGCGAACGGGGGAGUAACACGUGAGUAACCUGCCCUUGACUUUGGGAUAACUUCAGGAAACUGGGGCUAAUACCGCAUAGGAGCUCCUGCUGCAUGGUGGGGGUUGGAAAGUUUCGGCGGUUGGGGAUGGACUCGCGGCGUAUCAGCUUGUUGGUGGGGUAGUGGCUUACCAAGGCUUUGACGGGUAGCCGGCCUGAGAGGGUGACCGGCCACAUUGGGACUGAGAUACGGCCCAGACUCCUACGGGAGGCAGCAGUGGGGAAUAUUGCACAAUGGGCGGAAGCCUGAUGCAGCAACGCAGCGUGCGGGAUGACGGCCUUCGGGUUGUAAACCGCUUUCGCCUGUGACGAAGCGUGAGUGACGGUAAUGGGUAAAGAAGCACCGGCUAACUACGUG